AGCCCCUCGGCUUUGAUCCGCCUCAGCGCUUGCUUUCCGACGAAGUUGGCCGGCUGCAGGAACCCAAGAUAAUGAUGAUGAAUGAGGGCUCCGACACCGUGACAAGGUUUGUUUGAAAACAAUGCCCUGACAACCAAAUCCUCACUGCUCACACAUCCUGUGAUGGUUCAACGUGAUCGAACUGAGAGAUGCUGAGGAUGUUUGUAAAGCACACCUUGCCCCUGGUUACCAGCUCCUCCAAAGGGCGGAAUGAAGAUGAGAAUCCAGGUGACAGCUCCUGUCACUGUCCCUCAUGCACACUGGAAAGCUUCUUGUUUAAAAUGGGCUCAGAGAAAUCACUGAAGGCAGCCCGGAGGAGGCCUCCUUGUAAAGUUUGUGGCCAUCGCCAGCCUGAGACUGCGUUAACUGUCGCAUCCUUUGGUCAGCUUUUCGGCGCUCUGUGCAUCUGGGUGUGACUCAGAGAUGCUGAGAAAGCUGCAUCCUGGGCUCACUCAUUUGGGGAAAGGAUUGACUUGGUCUGCAUCCCAUCAAGACAAACCACAGCCUCAUUCGUUUCCUAUUCCGAGUUAGACCACAGAAGCCUUUGAGCAGCUUGUGACUUGGGCCAGUCUACAAGAACUGCAAGGCCAGUGAAGGCUGGAGGGAGAUUGAGCAAAAAAGCUCAAGCCCGGGCAGCCCUGGUGUGCUUUUACUGCCACACAGCCAAACAUGUCGUCAAUAGAUCCUUUGUAGCGAAGUGUUAAAUCACGAGUUUAGCCGCUGUUGUUGGCUGGGAAAUGAAAUCUCCCACAUACAUCAAGUUUUCACUCUCAGGCACAGGUGGCCGAGGCACAUCUCAACUAGCAUUUUCCUAGCCGAAGUACUAGCCAGAAGAGAAUUCCUUCUCAAAAAAAAAAAAAAGGCUUUAAGGGAGCAGGAAAAGGGACUCUGGCAGGUAUAGGGAAGGAGAGGAUAGAAGAGAAACCCAAGGAACAAGUACAGUGUCACACACCUGGAAUCCCAGCCCUUGAGAGGUUGAAGCAGGAGGAUGACGGGUGUAGAGCCAUUUUGGACUAAGUGGCGAAACCCUGUCUCAAAUCCCAACAAGACAAUCUGUAAACUGAGGAAAACAUUAAAAACAUGCCUAAGGCAGACCAAUAACAAGGGUAAUUACCAUUUAAACCAAAUUCAAAUUUUUUGAAAACUAAAAUAGUCCCUAUUACACAUGUUCUGUGACUUUCAUUCCAUUCAAUUUUAAGGAAAAUAUUAGGCUUUGAAGCUUAUGACUCAAAAGAAAGCUGUGGGAUGGAUGAGUGACCUUACCAGGUACACUUUUACAUUUAACUUCAGCAGCAGCUAAAGUUUUAAUAUUCUCACAGUACAAUUGAUCAUUUGCAAAUUCUGCAAGUUCAAUCAACUACACACCAAAAAAAAUGGUCAGGGGAGAAAAAACACGCUUGUGUUGAACUUCUGUGAGCAUUUUUCUUAUCAUUUCCUAAACAUUACACGAUGGCCCCAUUUGCAUAGUAUUUGGGUUGUAUUAUGUGUUGUGUGAUUUGAAGCAUAUAAGAGGAUGCGGAGGGCUCAGAACUGGGUUCCUACACUGUUUUCUAGAUGUGUUUGAGCCCAUGGAGAUUUCUGUACGUUGAAGUGGCCAGGUCUUCACUACCCACCCAUCACAGGGACAGCUGGAGUUUUCAUCUCUCUCUAGGGCAGAGAGAUAAAUGAGUAUCCGUUUGGUGUUUUGAGUAUAUGCAAAGCAAACAGCUCUUAAGGAAAUAAGCAUGAAGAACAGAGCAAAGCUUUGCUACCUACAUCUCCUCCCAGGCUCAUAGCCUGCUUGGGAGGUUUAUGUUUUCAUCAUUAUCUAAGUAAGAGUGCUUGUAGAUGAAAUAAUUUGUCUUAGACCGGCAAGUGGAACAGAAACCACUGAAGUCUGUCGACAGCCCAGACUUAGUUGCCACUUAGAGUGCCGGGUUGAGCUGAAGAGGCAGCCAGUGCUCUGAGCAUGAUGAACACUACCCAGGGCAGGCCCACAGGAGUUCCCAACACCCCUUGCCUUUAAUUUCCACGCACAUCUGAAGAGCCCAAAUCCAUGCUUCCCGAACAAAGCUCCAAACCCACAGGCACAGCUGCGUUCCAGACCUUCCCACUCAGUUAUUCCACACCCACAAACCCUCCAGUUUGCCAGCCACAUCUGUCCUUUUUCCAAUGCUGACAAUGUCCCCUGUCUUUCUCUCCACCCCACGGCGCCUCGGGUGAGUGCCAUGCUACCUCCUAAUAGUGCUCACAUUAUUUCCUUCUCCACCCCACAGCCUCUGCUUAACUGAAGCCUUUGCCCUUUCUCCACUGGCCUCCUUCAGUAAUUGGGGAAAAGAUCUUCCUGUCACACCAACAACUUUCUUUUAAUCAGUUUUCCAUCACCAGAAUGUCACUUCUUGCUCAAAAGCCUUAAAUCACUCCUUAGCUCCCCUUUCUGAUGGGUACCGCUGCAUUCCUGACAGCAUUUCUGGACACUGCUUUCAACAGAAUACACGUACUGAAAAUUCUUCAUGUGCCAGUCCCGAGUUAGGUGUAGAAGAUAAAAUAGCAAACCAUAUUUUGUAUUGCUAGCACCUGAAUUGAACUGUAUCAUUCUAUUCAAAUUAAAUAAAUAGAAUAAGUUUACUUUUUGAACAAGUAAAAUAAUUUCAAAUGCUCAAGACCUACAAGGAGAUAAUAUCUGUGAAAUUUAUGUUGGAUUCCAUACUUUAGAAAUGAUCUAAUAAAACCUGAAAAUAUCUUAAAAAGAUCAAUUGUAAACACCAAGUUAAUUUUACGCCCAAAGCAAAAGACUUAACAUUAGGAAAUAAAUAUAGUUCAACAGAUAACAAGUAAAAAAGAAAAAUUAGCUGAUUAGAUGUAGAAAAACCCUUUAAUAAAACUAAUAUUUACUCCCAACUAAAAGAAAACAUUUAGCACUAGGAACAGAAGGAAUCGCCCCAACCUGAUACAAAGUGGCUGUGAAAACCUAUUGAACACUGUCCCUGGUGUCCACAGUGAACACUGUCCCUGGUGAUGGGGGCAGACACUUUCCACACGAGGUAGGAUCAAGGCAAAGGUAUUUGUAGUCACCACUUUUGUGUGGCUUUGGUGAAGGUUAAGCCAGUGGAGUUUCUAAGCAGUGCAGUAAGGCAGGAAAAAGAAAUAGAAGACUUUAAAAGAAAAAUGAAAAGCUGUAUUUUUAAACGACAUGGUUGUCUGUGUAGUAGAUCUAACAGAACCUGCAAAAAAGAUCUACCAGAACUACUGAGUAAGACUGAAAAGUACAGAAGCCAAUUGUAUUUGUGUGCAUCUGUACAUGUGUAUGUAGGUGUAGAGGUGUGUAUGUGUGUGUAUUCUUGUAGGGGGUGCAUAUGUAUGUGUUGAGUGCGGGUAUAUGUGUGUGUGCAGGUCUGCGGGUAUGUGCGUUCUUGUAGAGGGUGUGCAGGUGUGUGCAUGUGGAGUGUGUGCAUGUGUGGGUGUGCAGGUGUGUGCACUCCUGUAGAGGGCACGUGUUUGUGUGUGUGGAGUGUGUGCAUGUGUGGGUGUGUGGGUGUGUGCACUCCUGUAGAGGGCACGUGUUUGUGUGUGUGGAGUGUGUGCAUGUGUGGGUGUGCAGGUGUGUGCACUCCUGUAGAGGGCACAUGUGUGUGUGGAGUGUGUGCAUGUGUGGGUGUGUGGGUGUGUGCACUCCUGUAGAGGGCACAUGUGUGUGUGUGUGGAGUGUGUGCAUGUGUGGGUGUGGGGGUGUGUGCACUCCUGUAGAGGGCACGUGUUUGUGUGUGUGGAGUGUGUGCAUGUGUGGGUGUGCGGGUGUGUGCACUCCUGUAGAGGGCACAUGUGUGUGUGUGCACCCAUGGAAACUAGAGAUUGAUGGUGGGUGUCUUCCUCUAUUUCCCUCCGACUUGUUUUCUGAGACAAGGUUUUGCACAGAACCUGGAGCCCACUGACUGGACUAGAACUUUGGCCAGCAAGCCCCCAAGACGAUCUUGUUUCUGCCUACCCAGUACUGCGAUUACAUGUGUACACAGCCAUGCCGGGCUUUUCAGGAGCUGAGAACUGAAACUCAGGUCCUCAUAACACGGACGGCAGCACUUUUCUGACUGAGCUGUCUCCCAAGCUCCCAGUUGCAUUUCUGUAGAUUAACAAUAAGCAAUUGAAAAUUGAAUUUAAAACACCAUUUAUGAUGGUAUUACAUUGUGAAAUACUUAGGUAGGAAAAUGUACAAAGAUGCACAGACAUGUACUAGAAUCUACAAAAUAUUUUCGAGAAAAAUGAAUGAUGCUCCAAAUGGGCACAGAAAUACACAUUGUUCAAGUGUUGAAGACUUGAAUUAACCUAUAGAUACAGUGUAUUUCCAAUCAAAAUUCCAAGGGCUUUUAAAAAUCAAUUGACACACUGAUUCUACAAUUUAUGGAAAACCGAAAGGACCUAGACUAGCCAAAAUUAAUCUCACACAACCUAUAGUAAUUGAGGCAGUGUGAUAUUAGUAUCAGGAAACACUCGUAGUUCAAUGGCACAUGGCAGAGCCCAGAAAUAGGACCUACGAAUAUACAUGAGCUGAGUCCUCCAGAUCUGUGCAGUCGGUGAGUGCAGACAAGGCAACCUUUUCAACAAAUGGUGCUGGAGACUGAAGAACCACGUGCAAAUGAACUUAAUCCACACCUCAAAGCUGAUAGAAAAAUCAACUAAAAGUGGAUCAUAAAUCUAAAAACGAGAAGGUGGUUUCAAACUUUGUUUCAAAAUAAACCAUUUUUUAAGUGUUUACAAUUUCUAGAAGAAAACACAGAUAGAUGGCUAUCGCCAAAAACUUUGGGUUAAGCAACAGUUUCUUAGACAUGAGUUAAAAACAUCAUCCAUAAAUGAUCAAUUGAGGGCCAGUGAGAUGGCCCAGUGUGUAAAGGUACUUGAUGCCAAGCCUGAGGACCUGAAAUUAAUCUGCAGGACCCACAUAGUGGAAGAAGAAAAUCAUUAAGUUGUCUUCUGGCCUCUAAGUCACAUGUAUGCCCUCCCCCACAAUCAUCAAUCAAUUAAGGUGAACCGUAUUAAAGAUCAAUUGAUAAAGGCUUUAAAUUUUAUAAACUAAAAACUCUGAAAGACACAGUUCAACAAACAAAAUAAUAAGAUGCAAAUUGCAAAAAAUAUUUACAAAGCCUGUACCUGAUAAAAAUUUACAUGUAAAAUAUAAGGACCUUGAACAACUCGGCAAUAAGAAAGUAAACUCCACUGAAAAUGAGUAAGAGAUCUCACCAGACGCUUGCCGAAGAAGAGACAGAAGUAGUAGACAGAGAAAUAAAAAGAUGCUCAACAUCAUUAGCCAUGAAGAAAACAAAUUACAGCCACUCCACACUUCACAGAAUAACUCCAGUUAAAGAGACUGACCAAAGCCCAGAGGCGGUGGUAUAUGCCUUUAAUCCCAGCACUCAGGAGGCAGAAACAAGCAAUCUCUAUGAGUUUGAGG